rnacentral:rRNA from 1 species
AAGGGCCUGCCUGCUGUACUCGAGAGACAACCGGGAUUGCCUCAGUAACGGCGAGUGAAGCGGCAAGAGCUCAAAUUUGAAAUCUGGCCCCUUUGGGGUCCGAGUUGUAAUUUGCAGAGGAUGCUUCGGGUGCGGUCCCCGUCUAAGUGCCCUGGAACGGGCCGUCAUAGAAGGUGAGAAUCCCGUCUGGGAUGGGCGGCCGCGCCCGUGUGAAGCUCCUUCCACGAAUCGAGUUGUUUGGGAAUGCAGCUCUAAGCGGGUGGUAAAUUUCAUCUAAAGCUAAAUACUGGCCGGAGACCGAUAGCGCACAAGUAGAGUGAUCGAAAGAUGAAAAGCACUUUGAAAAGAGAGUUAAACAGCACGUGAAAUUGUUGAAAGGGAAGCGUUGUCCCCCAGACUCGCCCGGGGGGGUUCAGCCGGGACGUGUGCCGGUGUACUCCUCUCCGGGCGGGCCCACAUCGGUUUGGGCGGCUGGUGAAAGGCCCCGGGAAUGUUCCACCCUUUCGGGUGGCUUAUAACCCCGGGUGGCAUUCAGCCCGCCUGGACCGAAGCCCGCCCUUCCGCGAGGAUGCUGGCCUAAUGGUGGUCAACGGGCCCUCUUGAAACACGGACCCAGGAGUCUAACAUCUAUGCCAAUGGUUCGGUGGUCAACCCGGUCCGCGCAGUGAAAGCCA